GGCCAAUUGAAUAGUUGCUUAGAAUUAACCAUUCUAUAACAGACAUCUGUGCAUCCAGUGUCUUGUGGCAUCUCCAACAAAGAUUAUGAGGUGUGUCCCCUGAAACAGAACAAAGAAAGAAAGGAUUAGAAUGAAGCCAAUUUGGAGAAACCUCACAAACCCCAACAGAGUUUCCUGGUGCUUGUUGGUAGGGGAAUCUGCAACCGCCCAACCAAGGUAACAAGCAGAGCACAAAACACAGUCAUCCAUAUAAUAUGCAUCCCCAAGGAUUGGGAAGUGUGUCCACCAAAGAACCCUACAUGCAGUGGAUGUUACUGGGCACAACAGCAAAUUAAUUUUAUUGCACCCAACAUAUCCAGCGGUUGUCUUGUUUUACCAAUAUAUGUUGAAAUUGCUCUUAACGUUUGGGGCCCUCUGCAGCUGCAGGGUCUGCUUCUUCUGUAGUUCCACCCCUGCCCACAAGACAGGCAACAGGGCACUGGGCAGAUAGAGCUGGGAGCUGUGCCCUGAAGAUUAAAGCAAACUUCAUGUGCUUGGAUUGAGAAUGUGGAGACACUGUGGAUGUCUGUACCAGCUCUGUGUGAUUCCCGGUGAGUCUGACUGAGGGAGAUAUUGAAACUCCAGCGUGUUCCCUGGAUGAAGACAAGUGUGUUGUCUGUGUGCCUGCUACGUGGGAGCAACUACUCUG